rnacentral:rRNA from 1 species
UCGGAAUUACUGGGCGUAAAGCGCGCGUAGGCGGAUUAUUAAGUCAGUUGUGAAAGCCCUGGGCUCAACCUAGGAACUGCAUCUGAUACUGGUAAUCUAGAGUUUAGGAGAGGGAAGUGGAAUUCCAGGUGUAGCAGUGAAAUGCGUAGAUAUCUGGAGGAACAUCAGUGGCGAAGGCGACUUCCUGGCCUAAAACUGACGCUGAGGUGCGAAAGCGUGGGUAGCGAACGGGAUUAGAUACCCCGGUAGUCCACGCCGUAAACGAUGUCAACUAGUUGUUGGCCCUAUUAAAAGGGUUAGUAACGAAGCUAACGCGAUAAGUUGACCGCCUGGGGAGUACGGUCG